UUGACUACAGAAAAUGUAAACCUCUGCAAGAAAUAUGGCAGAUACAGUACCGUACAGCCACCGAUUUUUAUAGACGAUCAGUGUGCAGAUACCAGGGCAAUGUUACGAUCGUUUGCUGUCCGAACGAUCCAAACAAAGAGAAGAGAGAAAUUUUAAUAAAAACUGUGUAUAAGUAUAAGGCUUUGCGACCACCAUACUGUGGUUUUAGCAACGUCUCUCAUACCAGGGUGGUCGAUGGUAAACCAGCUGAACUUGGUACGUUUUAUGUCUUUCUUUCCGAUUAAUAAUAAGCCAUUUACUGCAAAGAAUGAACUUUAAAGGCAUUAAACAGCACAUCAAUGUACAUUUCAAUUAGACUAAAUAAUAAUGCUAUGAUUUUAUCGGUAGUAACUUUACUUAUUAACUUGAAUUAUUUCUUUCUUUUACUUCAUGUUAGGAAGAGUAUCUUUUUGCUUGAAAUAAAAAAUUGAUAUAGGAGUAAUAAUAUGGAUAGAGAUCAAAAACUGUUAGGGCAGAAAUUACACGUUUGAACUUUAUAGUUCAGUAUAGUUCAAAUAGAAAUUAUAUAGAAUUAUUUAAUAAUUUGUAUUCCACUGGAAUAAAAAUUUAAUUUCUGUCUUUAUCAAAUCUCUAUUUCAGAGUAUUUGUACGUAUGUACUUAUCGUCUGCUGUAUGAUCGAAUAUCGAAUAGGCGCUUGGCCAUGGAUCGCUGCAUUAGGUUUUCGUAAUCCCCGAAACCCAGACAAACCACUAUGGAAGUGCGGAGGUUCCCUGAUAUCGGCUAGGCAUGUUUUGACCGCAGCACAUUGUGCACAUAUGGAUGGAAUAGAAAACAUACACAAUCAUAAUAUUGCCAUUCUUAGAUUGGUGGAGGAGGUGCCAUUUUCGAGGUACGUAUAUCCCAUUUGUACGAAAGAGCCUCUACGAAAGAGCAACUUCGUCGGCUAUAACCCCCUUGUUGCUGGAUCGGGAGCAUUAAGAUAUAGUAAGUGAUAUCAAUUUUAUAAUAAAAUUAAAUAGUUCCAGUCUUAAAUAUCUUUCUUAUUUUCUUCGUAGGACGACCACGACGUAAUGCAUUAAUGGAAGUACAAAUGCCAGUGAUUAAGAACGCCGAAUGCAAAAUAGCUUAUUCCAAAUUUCCUAAUGCACCUGAUAUCACUGAUGGUAUAAUAUGCGCCGAACAUGCUCAGGGUGGAGAGGAUUCUUGUACGGUAAUUAAGUUACAGAGUUACUACAAACUAUACGGUAUCUGAAGACACGUCGAUUCGAAUUAACAUCAAAUCGACGUCUUAAACAUUAAAAAUAAUAGAUAAACACAAUUUAAUAGUUUUGCCCACUUCUCACACCUCGUUAUGGUAUUUAAUCUAAUUUCCUUCUAAUCUUAGUUUUGCUCAAAAUACAUAUAACAUGUACGUUAUAAAUUGGAGUAUUUCAAUACACAAAUCAAUAGAAGAUUAUUACUGUAUAUAAGUAUAAUUUCAAUACAAUUCGAUCGAUAUAUUUCAGUAUCUUUGAUUAAAAAUUUAACGAUCCUUUCAGGCUGACCGCGGCGGACCACUGCUGAUACAACAUGAAUUAACCUCGUAUUUAAUAGGUAUUGUGUCUUAUGCUUAUAAGUGCGGCACAGCUGGGUAUCCCAGCGUUUACACUAGGGUCACAUCGUACCUUGACUUCAUUCUCCAAGCGAUGCAAUAAUAUGAUAUUACUGUUCCAUAAAUAUCAUUGUGUAAAAAACGUAAAGUUGGAUUUUCUUAUUGUGGAGAUAAGAAACAGCUCAAAUUUACAUUGUUUUGUACGUUACAAAUUAUAGGCUUAAAAUGUACGAAAUGUAACUUUGAAACGACACUAAUUUUUUACGCACGAUAAACCUCCACGACUUAGAUUAUAGAUUCCUAUACGACUCUCAGUAAAAAUUUAUCCGCACUCCAGAUAGUUAAAACUUCUGUCGACCGUAUUGAUCCAUCUGCACUCUUCGUAUGACGUCAAUAUCUGUUCAGUGCUGCUGCGCAGGUUUCUUUGUGUUACGUCAAUUCGUUUGUGACCGUUGCGCGAGUAAUGGCGCUUUGCAAUGGUGAUUUGCAGGAAAACAGUGCAGGAUGCUGUGAUUCGUUUCUUGUGGUCGGAGGUUAUGUUUGAUGCCUAUAUUUAUCAAAGAUUUAAUGCACAUUAUGGAGAAAGUGUUUUGUCACGAAGUGUGUUUGAAUGGGCACAAAAGUUCAAAGAAGAUCGCACGAGUGUUAUGAAAAAACAGCUGGACGCCCGUCCACAUCCACGAUGACAACAUUGAACGUGCUCAUGAACUUAUGCUCUAUGGAAUAGACGAGUGACACUGGAUAAUGUGGCAAAUCAUUUGCAAAUCAGCCACGGCUCUGCUUAUGCAAUAGUGCACGACAGAUUUGGAUUUUAAAAAGUUUGUGCGAGAUGGAUGCCGAAAAAGCUGAUGAAAAGGUGAAGACGACGAUGCAUUCGUGGUUCGCAGCUCAGCCCAAAACAUUUUUUAAUGAGAAAAUACAAAGGUCCUUCGGCAAAUGGACAAAGUGUAUACAGAAAUCGAGUGAUUAUGUCAAAAAAUGAUGUAUGUCUUUUUUGACAAUUGCUUAAAAUAAAUUCUACACCGACAGAGCGGGUAACUUUUUACUCACCCUCGUAAGACACUUAAAUUUCCAAUCUAUUAUGAUGAAUAAAAGAGCUUAUACUAUUAAAUCUAAUUGUAUUUUGUUGCAUGAGAGUACACGUGUAUGUGAUGUACAUUACCUUUAUAUCCCCUUGAACGCUUCAAUAUUGCGCAUAUAUACUAUAUUUUGUACAGCUUCUAUAAAAUUUCGUAUGUUUGUUUAGGCUGUUAAUCUAGAGGCUGGAGUACAAAGAAGUGGCACAAUGAUGUGGGCUGAUGACAUUUAUAAUUAUCAAGGAAUCACCCCUACAUUC